rnacentral:rRNA from 1 species
UACGGGGGGGGCAAGCGUUGUUCGGAAUUACUGGGCGUAAAGGGCUCGUAGGCGGCCAACUAAGUCAGACGUGAAAUCCCUCGGCUUAACCGGGGAACUGCGUCUGAUACUGGAUGGCUUGAGAUUGGGAGAGGGAUGCGGAAUUCCAGGUGUAGCGGUGAAAUGCGUAGAUAUCGGGAGGAACACCAGUGGCGAAGGCGGCUGUCUGGGCCAGUUCUGACGCUGAGGCGCGAAAGCGUGGGGAGCAAACAGG